GAGGGUAUAGCUCAGUGGUAGAGCGCAUGCUUAUUUAGCAUGUAUGAGCUCCUGGGUUGAAUUCCUAGUACCUUCA
rnacentral:tRNA from 1 species